UAGGGUUAAAGUUUUAUAAUAUUUACUUUGCAUGUAAGAGAAACAAAAAUCUUGUUAACCUG
rnacentral:tRNA from 1 species